rnacentral:rRNA from 1 species
GGGGGAAGGGUAAAUGUGCACGCUUCCCAAUCAAUUUUUCAUACUUACCCACCUGUGCACUUUCUGUAGGAUUAACCUGGAUUUUAGGGGGCUUGUUUAUAUAAAUUUAGGGGUCUUUUAAUAGGGGCCCCUCUUUUUUUUGCACACGCCCUCUUGUAUAGUCUUCAGGUCCUACGUUAUUACAUACACCUUUUUUGAUGAAUGUUCUUUGAAUGAUUUUAUAAUAAACCUUUGUACAACUUUCAACAACGGAUCUCUUGGCUCUCGCAUCGAUGAAGAACGCAGCGAAAUGCGAUAAGUAAUGUGAAUUGCAGAAUUCAGUGAAUCAUCGAAUCUUUGAACGCACCUUGCGCCCUCUGGUAUUCCGGAGGGCAUGCCUGUUUGAGUGUCAUUUAAUUCUCAAACCCAUAACCAAUUUUUUGGUCAAUGGGCUAUUGGAAUGUUGGAGGUGUUGCUGGCCUUCUUUGGGUCAGCUCCUCUUAAAUACAUUAGCAAGGGACCUUUUUAGUUUUUCUUCUUUGCCCUUUUGGUAUGAUAAAACAAUUUCUGCCAUAGCAAAAAGGAAAAUAAAAAGGGGUUUUUACCUGGCUUAUAAAACAAAAUACUUUUUAUAUUGACACAUUUGACCUCAAAUCAGGUAGGACUACCCGCUGAACUUAAGCAUAUCAAUAAGCGGAGGAAAAGAACUAACAAGGAUUCCCCUAGUAACUGCGAGUGAACCGGGAAAAGCUCAAAUUUGAAAUCUGGCAGUCCUUGUGGCUGUCCGAGUUGUAACCUAGAGAAGUGCUAUCCGCGCUGGACCGUGUACAAGUCUCCUGGAACGGAGCGUCACAGAGGGUG